GACAGACACAAGACUCCAUUAAGCACAUGGUUGCAAAAAGACACAAAACACUUUAAAAUGCAUAAAGUCACAUUUACACAUAACACACAGACAUUUCACAUAUCCCCAGAUAGCUGGGAUCUGAGUGCACAUUAUUAGAUGAAUGGCACUCAGAUCACACAAAUAAGCCUUUCUGCAGGGGAAAUAAACAGUUUAACCUGCAGGGCCAUAG